rnacentral:ncRNA from 1 species
AGAGCAUUGAGAGGACCUUUCCCUAGUACGAAAGGACCGGGAAGGACGUACCUCUCGUGCCCACGGUAAACGCUGGGUAGCCUAGUGCGGAGCAGAUAAUUGCUGAAAGCAUCUAAGUAGUAAGCCCACCCUAAGAUGAGUGCUUU